rnacentral:rRNA from 1 species
GUGGGGAAUAUUGGACAAUGGGCGAAAGCCUGAUCCAGCCAUGCCGCGUGUGUGAAGAAGGUCUUCGGAUUGUAAAGCACUUUAAGUUGGGAGGAAGGGCAGUAAGUUAAUACCUUGCUGUUUUGACGUUACCGACAGAAUAAGCACCGGCUAACUUCGUGCCAGCAGCCGCGGUAAUACGAAGGGUGCAAGCGUUAAUCGGAAUUACUGGGCGUAAAGCGCGCGUAGGUGGUUUUGUAAGUUGGAGGUGAAUCCCCGGGCUCAACCUGGGAACUGCCUCCAAAACUGCAUGACUAGAGUACGGUAGAGGGUAGUGGAAUUUCCUGUGUAGCGGUGAAAUGCGUAGAUAUAGGAAGGAACACCAGUGGCGAAGGCGACUACCUGGACUGAUACUGACACUGAGGUGCGAAAGCGUGGGGAGCAAACAGGAUUAGAUACCCGGGUAGUCC